GCGAGCAAGCUGCGCAGAGGUAACUGCGGAGGUGAAGAGAGUGCAGGGAAGCGACGCGCAGGGUUUGAGGUAAUCUCGCUGCUGGAAGGGACCCAGAAGAUCUAAUGAGGGCGAUCCCUCAGACAGAGAGAGGGGUCCCCGCAGACUGAGAAAAGGGCCCCACAGACCUUGCAGACUAGAGAGGGGGCCCCACAGACCAAGGGAAGGAGCUGAGGGAGACCCACGGACUGGAGGCUGCGCCUGAAAGAAAAGAUCUGAAGGUUGAGACAAGCGUCCAAAAUUUUACGGAGGAUAUUGAUGAUAGACCCUCAGAGAGAGGGAGGACGACGCAGAGAUCCCGAGGACGGAUGGAAGGGACCGGGAAAAGACUCCUGUCUGAGGGAGGCCGCCUGAGUGAAAGCUGAGCGCCGGAGACGGUGGUGCCGGGAUGAAGGCGAGAGCUACGGUGUGGGCGCUGGGUUGAGGUGAAGUGAAGGAAAGGAGAAACUUGCUGACACACUUUAGGAAGUUUAAAAAAGGUUUGGGCCGGGCACGGUGGCACACUCCUGAAAUCCCAGCGGACCCGGAGGCUAAGACAGGAGGAUGGUCUCAACCAACAACAAUGCCACAUUAAACCAGAGGUCCACAACACUACAGCCUAUGGACCAAACUAGCCACACCCACUCUUUAUCACCCCUCACCAGACACAGAUACAUGGCCUUGCAGGGGAUGAGCUUUAGGAACCCUUCAGAUCACAAAAUUCAAAGAUGCUAAGGCCCAUAUAUAAAAUGGUACAGGCAUCUGCACAAAACCUAUGCACUGCAUGUAUAUCCUCCCUACACUUUAAAUACUACGUACAUAGUUGUUAUACUGAUCAGCAACUACUUCAGUCUAUGGGUGUGAAACUCAUGGGUAAGGAGGAUUGAAUAUACUUAAAAACUGACAACAACAAUAAUAAACCGUGCUGACUCUUAAGUUAAACAUUUAGCCUCAGGACCCAUUAGCUCACAAGGACACAACUUGCCCUGAAACCUAGGUUCCCCAUACCCCUGGGCUCUUAAUGGCCCUGAGCCUCAGCUUACAGAUGUCCAUAGCUGUCCAGCUACUAGGGAAUGUAUGUGGUGGUUAACAGAACAUUCUGAGGGCUGGGGAUGUGGCUCAAGCGG